UACGAAGGGAGCUAGCGUUGUUCGGAAUCACUGGGCGUAAAGCGCACGUAGGCGGCUUUGUCAGUCAGGGGUGAAAUCCCGGGGCUCAACCUCGGAACUGCCUUUGAUACAGCAAGUCUUGAGUUCGAGAGAGGUGGGUGGAAUUCCUAGUGUAGAGGUGAAAUUCGUAGAUAUCGGGAGGAACACCAGUGGCGAAGGCGGCGACCUGGGCCAAUAUUGACGCUGAGGUGCGAAAGCGUGGGGAGCAAACAGG
rnacentral:rRNA from 1 species